CUGAAUGUGGCUCAGAGAUUAAAAGCGUCUGCCUGCAAUGCAGGAGACCUGGGUUCGAUCCCUGGUUUGGG
rnacentral:tRNA from 1 species